GCAAAUAAGAGGAAGAAUGAGAGGGUCCAAGAGUAGUAUGAAUGGGCACAUCGAGGAAAGCAUGAGAUUUCUAGAUUUCCUCUCCUAACAAAGGAGAAAUCUUGUUUUGUGUUUUUCCGAUGUCUCCCAUUCCUAUCGCUCUUGGGUGCUCCUUCCCCUUCCUUUUGGCU
rnacentral:pre_miRNA from 1 species